rnacentral:rRNA from 1 species
AGUCUGGCCUGCCCACUGAUAAAAUUAAAGGGCUGCGGUAAUUUGACCGUGCAAAGGUAGCAUAAUCVAUAGUCUUUUAAUUGGAGGCUUGUAUGAAAGGCUUGACAAGAAAAUAACUGUCUAUUUAAUAUAAAUUGAAUUUAACCUUUGUGUGAAAAGGCAUAAAUAAUUUAAGGGGACGAUAAGACCCUAUAAAACUUAAUAUUUAAAUGUUUUUAUUGAAAAUUAGGUGUAGUAAAUUAAAAAGAACUAUUUAUUAUUUUGCUGGGGAGGUAGAGAUAUAAAAUUAAAAUAGCUGUCUUUAAAAAUAAAAUAAUUAUAAUUAGAGUAUGAUCCAAUUGUUGUUGAUUAUAAGUUCAAGUUACUUUAGGGAUAACAGCGUAAUUUCUUUUGAGAGUUCUUAUCGACAAUGAUAGUUGCGACCUCGAUGUUGAAUUAAAAUUACUUCUGGGAGCAGGCAUCUAGAGAGUGAGUCUGUUCGACUUUUAUAAUUUUACAUGAUUUGAGUUCAAACCGGUGUGAG